CAGGCACACACCUGUGCCUCUAACAGUUGAUUUACAGGGAGCACUCAGGAUCUCUCUGGAGGCAUGUGUUUCAGUGUGGUUAGCAGGUAUUUCAAGCCACCUGCCGCCUAGAACCUGUAGACUGUAUAGCCUGUUAUGCUAGAGUUCACUGCAGAGAAGGCACUGGAGAUUGAUAACCCUGAGUGGCCCUGAAAGUCCAAUCUGUAAAUGAGGUGGAGCCAGAGCUGGGUUGAUUGUUUACUGCAGUGUUUAAGUUAAAUAUCUGUAAGGUAAUUAGCAGUUCAAGAGAAGAAACAAGGGGAAGGCUUUAACUGUAUAACAUCAAUUCAUUACUGAAUAAAACAUAAUUAAAUCAGAAGUAUUUGAAAGACCUCUUAACACACUGGCCACAUUAUAAAAUGGCUUGUUUCACCUGACUUGCAGCAGUAGCUGGUGACACAAUAAGAUACAGUACCCUCUAUUGGAAAUGUUGAAUAAGCAAUAUAUAGGAUGAUUAUCAUUCACAAAUCUCCAAAGACAGUUCAGCUUGAUCAUAAAAUAGAAAAGAUUAUACAUGUCUAAACAUGUAAAAAUGUUUGUGAUAAGGAAAGCACUCAUGUGACAUGUAAUUCUUUUCUGCAUUUUCCACAUUAUCUGAGCUGGAGAGUGCUGUUUUAUCUAUUUUUCUUUUGUAUUUUUUCCCCCUGUUAUGUAAAUUGUUAAAGAGCAAAGAGAAAAAUAACUUGUUUUAAAAACAUGAACAGAGAAAUCAAAAAAACAAAGUGUACCUUUUCUUCACCUGAAGUCUUUCACAGAGGUCAUUACAGUAAGGAAUAGAAAUAGGCGCUCAGUGUCCUGAUAAGGAGUUCAGGCUUUAAAAAUGUAUUUUUCUUUUUAGUUAGGUUUUGAACCUAAACGUAACAGUUUUGGCAAUAGAAUGCAAACAUCUGGAAAAUGGACUGAAAAUACAGUUUUUUGUGUUGGUUUAGUUUGAGGUUCCCGUUACAUGCUUCUGAUGGUAUAUCAACAAUAAACAGUUAAAUCAGACAAAAGGAAACAUUUUUACUAUAUAGCCUACUUAAUCAUAGUAGAAGCACAAAAACAAAGCACUAAUCGCCAAAUCAACAAAAUCUAAGCCAAGAAACGAGAGCUUUGAAGAAUGUCGUAGAAGCACAAAAAGGACAAAAACAAGUCAUUAAUGUGGGGCAGGCUAACGUUACAGGCUUCGCUGCAGAAAUGCUCCUGAGAGGAGAGGAAGGGAAAGUAGUUCCUAUCAACUGAGUAUAAUUAGACCAUACUGGUGAUAGUAAGAUACUUAUAAAACACACACUCACUCCAAAUGAGUGUGUUUAGAUAUCGAUCCUGGAGCAGGACUCGUUGGUAUCAGAAAUAUCAAUACUUUAGGAUCGAUCCGCACAUCACUAGUCCACAGCAAAGUGUUGAGUUUUAAAAAGUUACAACAAACUUAAUGUACUCCAGUGUUUCAGUGCUUUCUUCAAAUGUAAACCUGCUGGGUUUUAGGCCAGACAAUUGCAUUAGAAUGUUGAUUAAACCAUUGUUUGUAUCCUCUUUGUAAUGUAAAGAAAACUGACACCUCUUUGUUUAGUGCCAGAAGGACAGUUUUUCGACUGUUUCAUUGACACUUAAGACAGGGUGUCAACCAUUUUGUAGACAAGCCCUGUUGUUCUCCAUGAUUAGUUUAGAGCAAAAGACUGUUUAUUCCUGUAGAUUGAAGGGGGUUUCACGUCUGGGAAUUGGCGCUCUUUUGUUCGACCAAAAGUACCAUAGAGCAGUA